rnacentral:rRNA from 1 species
GGGAACGUACCCUUCGGUUCGGAACAACUCUGGGAAACUGGAGCUAAUACCGGAUACGCCCUUAUGGGGAAAGGUUUACUGCCGAAGGAUCGGCCCGCGUCUGAUUAGCUAGUUGGUGGGGUAACGGCCUACCAAGGCGACGAUCAGUAGCUGGUCUGAGAGGAUGAUCAGCCACACUGGGACUGAGACGCGGCCCAGACUCCUACGGGAGGCAGCAGUGGGGAAUAUUGGACAAUGGGCGCAAGCCUGAUCCAGCCAUGCCGCGUGAGUGAUGAAGGCCUUAGGGUUGUAAAGCUCUUUUGUCCGGGACGAUAAUGACGGUACCGGAAGAAUAAGCCCCGGCUAACUUCGUGCCAGCAGCCGCGGUAAUACGAAGGGGGCUAGCGUUGCUCGGAGUCACUGGGCGUAAAGGGCGCGUAGGCGGCCAUUCAAGUCGGGGGUGAAAGCCUGUGGCUCAACCACAGAAUUGCCUUCGAUACUGUUUGGCUUGAGUAUGGUAGAGGUUGGUGGAACUGCGAGU